UCCACCAAUGUACAACACCUGGCAUUAUCCCGUCCGACCUUCAAAUCAUAGACCAUACCCUGAAGCACCAGUUCCCAUGGCAACUAGAGGUCCUAACUUUUGGAGACCUCGAUGACCCUUGUCAAAUACUCUCAUUAGAACUCCUUUUAACCUACAAGAGACCAAAAUUUCAUUUGAAUGACAGUUGUACAACAAUCAUCAAGCAAGACCCUAUUGCUGAUUAAACAAUGCACAGAACAUUUCCAUUCUAAAAGAAGAAGAUGCAUAAUGCAAGAGUGUACAUGAACAUAUUUCAAUAUUGAGGAUGGCUCCAAAGCUACUGACAUUUCUUGAUGUCUACAACAUCCUGUCAUCUUUGGAUUUUUUGCUGUUUUGUUCUUUGAGGGCUAUCAAGAUGUUGUGGUUCCAUGUUUAAGCCAAAUGUUGGUGAUGUUUUUUUAAUCGUUGGUUGUUAGUUAUUUGGAAUCAGGCUAAAGUUAGAACUUGGUCUUGGGUGUACAUUAUGGAGAUGUCUUGGGUUCAAAUUUGAAAUAUAAUUGUUGCUUCUUUUCA